rnacentral:rRNA from 1 species
UUUAAAGAGAGUUUGAUCCUGGCUCAGGACGAACGCUGGCGGCGUGCCUAAUACAUGCAAGUCGAACGAACGGAGGAAGAGCUUGCUCUUCCAAAGUUAGUGGCGGACGGGUGAGUAACACGUGGGCAACCUGCCUGUAAGUUGGGGAUAACUCCGGGAAACCGGGGCUAAUACCGAAUGAUAAAGUGUGGCGCAUGCCACGCUUUUGAAAGAUGGUUUCGGCUAUCGCUUACAGAUGGGCCCGCGGUGCAUUAGCUAGUUGGUAGGGUAAUGGCCUACCAAGGCAACGAUGCAUAGCCGACCUGAGAGGGUGAUCGGCCACACUGGGACUGAGACACGGCCCAGACUCCUACGGGAGGCAGCAGUAGGGAAUCUUCCGCAAUGGACGAAAGUCUGACGGAGCAACGCCGCGUGUAUGAAGAAGGUUUUCGGAUCGUAAAGUACUGUUGUUAGAGAAGAACAAGGAUAAGAGUAACUGCUUGUCCCUUGACGGUAUCUAACCAGAAAGCCACGGCUAACUACGUGCCAGCAGCCGCGGUAAUACGUAGGUGGCAAGCGUUGUCCGGAUUUAUUG